GCAUGGCUCAGUUGGUUAAAGUGUGGUGCUGAUAACACUGAGGUUACAGGUUUGAAUCCCUGUACGGGACAGCUGCA